rnacentral:rRNA from 1 species
CGGGACGGGGUGAGUAAUGUCUGGGAAACUGCCUGAUGGAGGGGGGUAACUACUGGAAACGGUAGCUAAUACCGCAUAACGUCGCAAGACCAAAGAGGGGGACCUUCGGGCCUCUUGCCAUCGGAUGUGCCCAGAUGGGAUUAGCUAGUAGGUGGGGUAACGGCUCACCUAGGCGACGAUCCCUAGCUGGUCUGAGAGGAUGACCAGCCACACUGGAAUUGAGACACGGUCCAG